CGGAUGAACGCUAGCGGCAGGCCUAACACAUGCAAGUCGAGGGGCAUCGCGGUGCAGCAAUGCACUGGCGGCGACCGGCGUACGGGUGCGUAACGCGUAUGCAACCUGCCCCGCACCGGGGGAUAGCCCGCCGAAAGGCGGAUUAAUACCCCAUGGUCCCGGGGGCCCGCAUGGGCAUCCGGGUAAAGCCUUGGCGGUGCGGGAUGGGCAUGCGUGCCAUUAGCUGGCUGGUGGGGUAACGGCCCACCAGGGCAACGAUGGCUAGGGGGUCUGAGAGGAUGGUCCCCCACACUGGUACUGAGACACGGACCAGACUCCUACGGGAGGCAGCAGUGAGGAAUAUUGGUCAAUGGGCGGAAGCCUGAACCAGCCAUGCCGCGUGCGGGAUGAAGGCCCUACGGGUUGUAAAGCUCUUUUGUCCGGAAAGAAAAGCGCCGGGUUAAUACCCUAGUGUCCUGACGGUACCGGAAGAAUAAGCACCGGCUAACUUCGUG
rnacentral:rRNA from 1 species